GCUUCCCCUGAGACAGAGAGCAGCAGGGGAAGGCUCACUGUGGCCCUAUGGACACCCUCAGCAGGAGUUUUUGGGACAGGACUGCAGGGAAUACUGUAGGAUUGCCUCUGUCUCAUAGCACAGGCUCAGCUUGGAAGCACUAUUGCUUGAAAGCUGAGCAGACAUUGCACAUUGCCAUGUGGGACCAGAAAGUGUAUUAUCAGCACCUAGAUGUUUGGGGUGGGGUCAUCACUCAAAAAAAAGGCAAGAGCUCCAGCAAGAAAAGUGCUGGACAGUCUUUCUGGUCCUGGCCCAAGGCCUGCAGCUGGGCGUGAGGCUGCUGUGCAUGGGGCCGAGCACACACCCUACAACUUCUUUGUCUGUGCACAACCUCCACAAGAAAUUAUUUUUAUUCCUACAGCCAAGAGUGCUCCUCUAAAAGUAAUGCCCUUGGAUAAUUUAAACCAGAAAGAGAGUAGCAGCACAAUGAAGACUCAAAGUAUCCCUUGGUUUACAAAACCAGGAAAAAGCAGCUGGGGAACUAUUUACACUGGACACUACAACAGUGUUGAGUUUGCCCAGCCAGCUCUAUCAAAUAACAUGAAGGCAUGGAGGACUGUCAGCUCUUGUGGCUUCCUUCAAGUCCUACUGGAAAUAUUCCUUGUAAAUAACAGCUUUGUAGAAGACUACUGAUUGUUAAUGAGGAAACGUCAGAGACUGUAGUUGCCAGGAUAUCAUGGAUGAGGAGGGAGCAGCUUUGGUGGGCACCUGGAGACCAGUCAUGUGCAAACCACCUGUUUGCUAUGUUUGGGAGGAGCUCUCAAUAAAAAGUCACCUUUAGUUAGAAGCAGACUUCAGCUUACUUAGGAAAGAGUACCAGCAAUGAACCUUUUUAUUACCCCACCACUGCAUGUCUAAAAUUUGAUGGUGAUGAUGAUGAUGACGUCCCUAAUGAGAACUAGUAGUUUGAUCUACCUUAUCCAUGUGCAUGGAGGAAGUAUGGAAGGACUGUCCUAACAAAGACAGGUAGAUUUCCAUGUCAGCACCUAUUCAGCCUCCUGUUUGCCACCAAGAACUAUCCAAAAUGACCUCAGGUAAUUUUUGCUGUAGUUAUGGUUUCUCUGUACAGGGACAAUAGUCCAUGAAGAACCUGAUUGAGACCACCUUAUCUUUCCUUAGGGAUUGCCAAAGAGGUGCCAGUAGGAGUGAGUUCCAGUCACUGUUGGCCUAGGCCAGGUUUGAAUGUAGAAAUUAGGAACAAAGACCUGUAUCCAGAAUCUUGA